rnacentral:rRNA from 1 species
UGGGGAAUUUUGGACAAUGGGGGAAACCCUGAUCCAGCCAUCCCGCGUGUGCGAUGAAGGCCUUCGGGUUGUAAAGCACUUUUGGCAGGAAAGAAACGUCAUGGGUUAAUACCCCGUGAAACUGACGGUACCUGCAGACUAAGCACCGGCUAACUACGUGCCAGCAGCCGCGGUAAUACGUAGGGUGCAAGCGUUAAUCGGAAUUACUGGGCGUAAAGCGUGCGCAGGCGGUUCGGAAAGAAAGAUGUGAAAUCCCAGAGCUCAACUUUGGAACUGCAUUUAUAACUACCGGGCUGGAGUGUGUCAGAGGGAGGUGGAAUUCCGCGUGUAGCAGUGAAAUGCGUAGAUAUGCGGAGGAACACCGAUGGCGAAGGCAGCCUCCUGGGAUAACACUGACGCUCAUGCACGAAAGCGUGGGGAGCAAACAGG